rnacentral:lncRNA from 1 species
GAAGGAGCCCGGGGAGGGAGGGGGAGGGGCCGGGAGCUGGGGGUAAGGGAGGAGUGAGCCUGGGUGCUGUGGGGGGAGGGGGUUGUUCAAGGGAUGGGGACGAUCAGGGUCUCUGGGAAGUGCUGACGUGUGCGCGUGUGCGGUGUGUUGCUUGUGGGUGCGUGUGUGGUGUGUGCAUGUGUGUGCGCGCGCGUGUGUGCGGGGUGUGCCGUGAGCGUGUGCCCGCGGUUCGGGGGAUGAGUAGGGGCGCUGACUUUUAGGACCAGCCAUUUGAGUCAAGCUGGAGACGACGUCUUAGAACCUAGGAUGAGUCUCGUUUGGUUUUAGUCUGCAAAGCUCGUCUGCAUCAGACAGGAAUUUUCCCCAGACGCGGGUGCACGUGAAUUAAUUCAUCAGAAGGCGGUUCACGGCCUGAGUGAGGGGGACGAGGGCGGCGAAUUCCUCCGCCUCAUUCCUACCCUGACGAUUCGAGAUGCUCGCUUCACCCCACUGAGAUGUAACUCAGUUUUGUGGGAUCCCACUGCCCUCCAGGUGCCGCUCCGAGUGCUCUACACAGAUUUUCAUUCAGUCCUUGCGGCACACGAAGAGUGGCUGUACCAUUUUGCAUUCCCAGACCGAAGUGUGAAAGCUCCAGAUGCCCCACGCCCUCACCAGCCCACGGUGUUGUCAGCCUUAAUAGUGCUGACCAUUCUGGUGGGUUUGCAGUGUAUCUCAUUGUGUUUUAAUUUGCAUUACCUUGACAACUAAUGGCGUUGAGACUUUCAUAUAUCUUUAGUAAAGAGUCCUUCCAAAUCCUCUGCCGAUUUUUUAAAAAUUGGGUUGUCUUCUUGUAAUUGAGUUGUAAGAAUUCUUUAUACGUUCUGAACAUGUUAUUUAUUGGAUAAAUGUUUCGCAAGUAUUUUCUCCCAGUCUUUGACCUACUUUUUCAUCUUCUUAUCAAGAGCUUUUAAAAAGCAAAACUUUACAUUUUGAUGACAUCCAAUUAUUACUUUUUUCUUUUAUGUUUUUUGUGUAUUAUUUAGGAAAUAAUUGUCUGAACCAAGAUUACAAAUAUUUUCUUGUCUUUCAGAAGUUUUGUGGUUUUAGCUCCUAAGUGUACAUCUGUGAUCCAUUUUGAAUUAAUUUUUGUAUAUGGUAUGAUGUAAUGGUCAAGGUUUUUAUUUUUGCAUAUGGAUAUACAGUUGUUCCAGUACCAUUUCUUGAAAAUAAUUACCAGUACCAUUAAGUUACCUUGGUACUUUUAUUGAAAAUCAAUUGACUCUCAGUUCUGACCCAUCGACUUAUAUGUCUGUUUUUUUUUGUUUUUUUUUUUUUUUUGAGAUGGAGUCUCACUCUGUUGCCCAGGCUGGAGUGCAGUGGUGCUGUCUGGGCUCACUGCAACCUCUGCUCCCAGGUUCAAGCGAUUCUCCUACCCCAGCCUCCUGAGUAGCUGGAAUUACAGGCAUGUGCCACCACACCCAGCUAAUUUUUGUAUUUUUAGUAGAGACGGAGUUUCACCAUGUUGGUUAGGCUGGUCUUGAACUCCUGACCUCGUGAUUCACCUGCCUCGGCCUCCCAAAGUGCUGGGAUUACAGGCGUGAGCCACCGUGCCUGGCCAUGUCUGUUCUUAUGCUAACAUCACAGUAUCUGGAUUAUUGUAGCUCCAUAAUGAAUGCUGGAAUCAGGUAAUGUGAGUCCUCCAACAUUUUUACUCUUUUUCAAAAUAAUUUGACUAUUUUAGGUCCUUUGCAUGUCCAUACAGAUUUUAGACUCAGCUUGUCAAUUUCUACCCAAAAAUGUCUGAUUGAGAUUGUAUUGAACCUAUAUCUUAAUUUGGGGAUAAUUAGUAUGUUAGCAAUAUUGAAUCUUCUAACCUACAUUUACUUAGUCUUCAUUAAUUUAUCUCAUCAAUAUUUUGUAGUUUUCAGUGCACAGGCUUUGCACACAUUUUGUUAAAUUUCCCUAUAAGGAUUUCAUAUUUUUAUAUUUUUCAUUUUGUAAAUGUUAAUUUAAAGGAAUAAGACACCCUCUUUUUUUUCUUUCUUUUUUUCUGGUUUUUUUGUUUGUUUGUUUGUUUUGUUUUUAUAGAGACAAGGUCCCACUAUUUUGCCCAGGCUGGUCUCGAACUCCUGGGCUCAAGCAGUCCUCCCACCUCAGCCUCUCAAAGUGCUGGGAUUACAGGCAGGAGCCACCACACCUGGCCAGAUACCCUCAUUAGAUUUUUGUGUCUAUUCUGAUUUCUUUAAAGUAACAUUUACUUUAAUAAAUGUUACUAUAUAAACAUAUAGCAUUAAUAUAAAAUUGUUUGUUACUGGUACAUAUAAAUACAAUUAACUUUUUAGAUUGCCCUCUUACCCUGUGACCUUGUUAAAUUCACUAAUUCUAGCAGCCGCUUUUGUGUAUUUGGUAAGAUUUUCUACAUAGACAAUCAUGCCACAGGUAAAUAGAACCCAUUUUACUGCUUCCUUUCCAAGCUGCAUGCUUUUUUUUUUUCUUGCUUUAUUGCAUUGGCUAGGUCCUCAUGCAUAAUAGUGAAUAGAAGUAAUGAGAGUAAACACCCUUGCCUUGUUUCUUGUCUUAGUGGGAAACCAUUUGGUCUUUCACCCUUAAGUAUAAUGUAAGCUGUAGUUUUUUUGUAGAUGCCUUUUAUCAGGUUGAAAUCUAUUUCUGUUUUGAGUGUUUUUAUCAUGAACCGUUGAUGAAUCUUGUCAAAUGCUUUUUUCCUCGUCUUUUGAGAUUAUCAUAUGGUUUUUCUUUUUCAGCCUGUUAAUAUGAUGAAUUACACUGAUUCAGUUUCAAAUGUCCAACCAAGCUUGCACUCCAGAGAUGAAGCCCACUUGAUCACAUGGAUUAUUCUUUUAAUAUAUGAUGGAUACGACUUGGCUGUUCUUUUGUUGAGGAUUUUUGUGUUUAUGUUAAUGAGGAUAUUAUUUGUAGUUUUCUUUUCUUGUAAUGUUUUUGUCUUUGUUCAGUGUCAGAGUAAUGCCAACUUCAUAAAGUGAGCUGGGAAGUACUCCCUCAUUUUCUGUUUUCUGUGAAAGAAUUGUAUAGAAUUGAUGUUAUUUCUUCCUUAAGUGUUGAGUAGAAUUCACUUGCAAAGCCAUCUGAGGUUGACAUCUUCUUUGGGAAUGACUUUAGCUAUAAAUUCAAUUUAUUUAACAGAUAUAGGGCUAUUAAGGUUAUUUAAUUUUUUUCUUGAAUGAGCUUUAGUGUCCUGUGUUUUUCAAGGAAUUUUUCCAUUUUAUUUAAGUUUUUAGAUUUGUUGGCAUAAAGUUAUCCCAAUAUUUCCUUAGAAGUUGUGACUUUUACUGCAUAUAAAACAUACCUCAAUAAAGCUAAUACAUACAUAUAUAUAUAUGAAUCAUUUCUGGCCAGGUACAGUGGCUCAUGCCUGUAAUCCCAGCACUUUGGGAGGCAGAGGCAGGUGGAUCACCUGAGAUCAGGUGUUCCAGACCAGCCUGG